AAAGAUAGAAAAGAAGUAGAAUGAAACGAAACAGAGAACAAGGGAGAAAAAGAAAGAAAGAAAGAAAAGAAAGGAAGAAAAGAGAAAAUUAAAGGUUUGAAGCUUGGAAGUUUAAUAGGUAAGUCAAUUUAGCCUAUUUUACUUAAUUUUGAUGUUUUAGAAGCUUUAGAACAAGGUUUUGAUGAAGUUAAGUUGAUAUUUUAAAAGAUAGCUAAUUAUUAAACAUUGUUCAUGUUGAACAAAAAGAUGAAUUAAGGGCUAAAUUGAUAGGAAUUCAAGUUAGAAGUGAAAUAAUGAUUAAAUUGUAAAGUAAUUCAUAAGUUUUGAAUGGUAAGGAUUAAAUUGAAAGAAAUUCAAAAUUAUGGUUUUAUGCUGAAAUUAGUUUGAAGUGGAAAUUGAAUAAAAAUAUUGAGUUAAAUAUGAAGGAUAAAAGUUAGUCUCGGUUUAGGGACUAAAUUAGAAUUAAGGUAAAAAUUAGAUAGAAAUUGAAAUAUUCAAUGUGAAAAAUUUAAUGAUAGUGUAUUAAUAAUAUUUAAUUAAUUCCUGUAGCUAAUGAUGUCUCGGAAAAUCUCGGUUAAGCGAGGAUAAGGCGAAGACAACAGGAGUUAGCUCGGAAACUACGGUUUGUAUUUCUAUAAACUGAACUUAAUAGUUAAUUGUUAUGUUAAUAUUUGAAUUGCUUGAGAAUGGAAAUGCUAAGGUAAGAAUUAUAAUAUUUUAUAAUUUAUUGAAUUUGAUUACUAAUUGUUGUAUCAUGAUUGAUAUGUGACAAGUAAUUAAAGUAUGGAAUAUUUGAAUGUGUGAUAAUUGGAAAAUGAAUUAAAAGGUAUGUUGUAUUAAAAUUGAAUUACAUGUGAAUUGAUAGAGAAAUGUAUUGAAAUGAAGUGAAAUUAAAUUACGAAUGAAAUUGAAAAUUUGAAAGUUUACUGUAUACCCUAUUAACAGUGUCGGGCUAGUCGGAUAUAAUUGGCAUGCCAUAGGAUUGAAAGUGUUCAGGGAUAUUCUAACUGUGUGUCGAUGAGACACUAUAUGUGUCGACUACUGUGAUUGUUCCAGAUUUGUUCCGAAGAGGUAUUCCGUACCUGACUGUUACUGUUACUGUUUCGGAUUUGUUCCGAUGAGGUACUUUGUGUACCGCUACUGUUACUGUUACUGUUACUGUUACUCUUACGGUGUAUUCCGGAUUCGGCCGAUGAAACACUGUAUACUAUCCCCGGUGUGUGGGUUGGAUCCGUGUAUCCGUCCAGAUCUGAGUCAUGUUAAUAGGGGUAAUGAAAAGUAUUAAAGACUAUCUGUUACUGAAUAAUUGACUGUUACAGAAUAAACGACUGAUACUGAAUAAAUGAAUAUUACUGAUUAACCGAUUAUUACUGUUGACUGACUGGUAUUAAACGAUAAAGAUCAAUUGGCUGUUAUCAAAGAAUAUUGACUGUUAUUGAAAUGAGAUAGUACAAAAUAUUGAAUGAAAGGUGAAUAAUAUUAUUACUCAAAUGAAUUGUAAAUAAAAGUACUAAAAAACUAAUUGUUACUGAAUAAUGGACUGCUACUGAAUGUCUGAAUGAUACUGAACACAGGUUAUUACUGAAUAAAUAUGAAAAAUUGACGGAUAAUGAACAAACAUUGAAAUUGUGUACAUUUCAUCGAAAGCGAUUAACAAGAUCUUAGCAUUAUAUUUCAAAAACAAAUGAUUGAACUAUUAGGAGUAAUAGAUUGAAUUCUCAUGGUUCAUUGAUAUAUGAUCUAUUAUUGACUUAAGUAUCAGUUUAUAGAAAUACCACUGAGUUCAUACUCAGCGUACGGUUUGUCUCCGUGCGCAGGUAGGUUAAAGACAGAUCGUCGAAUCUGCAUCAUAAGCCGAUCCCGAACUCAAAAAGGUAAAGCAUGUUAAUUAUCAGUAAUGGCAUAUACCUAGGAUGUCUUAAGUGUG
rnacentral:lncRNA from 1 species